UUUGCGAAACAACCAAAUUGCAUUAAGGGAAAUGCUGGGGAAUUGUUUUCAUCUAAACAUUAUGAAAAAUGAAGACCAGACGAUGCAGAUAACCAGCGAUGGCAUCAACCACAUAGUUGAGUAAUUUUUAGUAGUGUUACUUGUUAGAACAGCGGCAUUCUUCUCGUAAGUAAUCGUUUGAUCACCUAGAACACUUUCGUGUGUUGCUUUUCCUUUCCUGUCACUCUCGGUGAAUUCAUCGGAGCUGCCGUUGCUUCCAGGCCGUCGAUCCCCGUCGUUCACCGCCGAAGGGAUCGCCCCAGCUGUAACAUCCAAUCAUGUUAGAAAAUUCCUCUAGAGUGAUCGAUUCUUGCAACUUUGUUUGCCUUUUCAAAUAAAAUCUACCUCGGCGUA